GUGAUUAAAUCAUGAGGGAGGAGCCCUUAUGAAUGGAUUAGUGCUCUUGUAAGAAGAGACCCAAGGAAGAUGAUCUCUCUCCACCACCUGAGGGUACGAGAAGAUAGCCGCCUGGAACCCAGGGAUCAGGCUCUCACCUGACACCGGAAUCUAGACUUCUCAGCCUCCAGAACCAGGAGAAAUAAACUUCUGUUCUUACAAAGGAUUAAUUCAGUGCCAUCUGCACAGCCCUCUGAGGUGGGACAGCACCGUUUGGGCGCAGAGCAUUCCCCAGCUGCCUGUUGGACAUUACUGGAAAGGAAAGUUCUCUCAAAAUAAAGCAUUGCUGUUGCUCCUUCUCUGGUCUCCAUGAAGAUACUGAGCAUACCUCACACGUGAGUCCAUCCGGGAGAUCCUGAGGUAGGGAGUAUGAUGGGCAGGAAGAAAACUCAGCACCCCACCAGGAGUGUGGAAAGCCAGGUUCUCGAGACAGCUUCUUUGCCAAUAAGCAGGAUGUUCCUGUUCUGCGCAAAGCCCAAGUGGCCAGCAUGUGCGUCUGAAAAAUGAGGGAAGUGAAGAUCCCAGGAUCAUUCUAUCUUGACACUACUGCAACUCCUUAAUAAGACUCAGGCUUGGUUCCUUUAGGACAGUGUUUUCCUAAUUGGACAGACCCCAAAAAUCAUGUGGGACACUGGUUAAAAAAAAAUACAGACUGUUGAUCUUCACUCCAUGCUCAGAGGACAAGCCAGGGAAACUGAAUUUUUAACUAGAGACUCAGAUGACAUUGCUGUAGAACAUAAUGAAUAACAAGUCACCCAAGGCUCCCCUAAUGUCAGGAUGGAAAGUACAAAGCCAUGUCUAUAUUCCUAUUUUGCAAAUAUACCUGGAUAUGAGUAUUUAAGCACCUAAAGAGCACAGCUAUUUUGUUCAUUGUUAUUUUUUUUCUGUCAAAUAAAGCAGUGAAUCUCUAUA